AGUGAACGCUGGCGGCAGGCCUAACACAUGCAAGUCGAACGGCAGCACCGUAAUAGCUUGCUCUUACGGGUGGCGAGUGGCGGACGGUUGCGGAAGACAUCCGAACCUACUGUUUCGUGGUGGAUAAUGUAGGGAAACUUACGCUAAUACCGCAUACGACCUACGGGUUAAAGCAGGGGAUCUUCGGACCUUGCGCGGUUGAUUCGGCCGGUGUCGGGUUAGCUAGUUGGCGGGGUAAAGGCCCACCAAGGCGGCGAUCCGUAGCUGGUCUGAGAGGAUGAUCAGCCACACUGGAACUGAGACACGGUCCAGACUCCUACGGGAGGGAGCCGUGGGGAAUGUUGGACGCUGGGCGCAAGCCUGCUCCAGGCAUACCGCGUGGGUGAAGAAGGGCUUCGGGUUGUAAAGCCCUUUUGUUGGGAAGGAAAAGCAGCAGGUUAAUACCCCGCUGUUCUGACGGUACCCAAAGAAUAAGCACCGGCUAACUUCGUG
rnacentral:rRNA from 1 species